GGGCUUGUGGUUUAGUGGUAUAAUUUUCCCUUAGCACGUGACGAGCUUUCCAGCAUCGUCCGAAGCGUGGGAAAGGUCCUGGGUUCGAUUCCCAGCAAGUCCA